GAAACUUGUGAAUGUUCUCCACAGCUACAGCGUUUGAGAAGAAGUUCUUUUCAGAAAUAUCCUGAAUUUGUUAUGGCCUGAAAUGGGGGUUUGUUGCCUGGCAGUGAAUGCGCUGGUGGAGGAGGGGUCCAUGUCAGUGACGUCGUAGUCAACAGCACUCGUCCCGAGAGCUGAGCAACGCAGCCCGUUGUAGAGGUACCAGGGGCCGAUGGUGGAGCGACGGGCCAGGUGCAUGCUGGGAAGCGCAGCGCAGCCUCUGGCGAUCUCUGUGUUGAUGUCCCAGAUGACAUGAAGGGGGACAUCGGUCAGUGGCAGCAGUGUGGAAAUGACCACGCGAGAAAGGGCAGCAGUGCAGUAUAAUGGGUAAGGAGUCUGGUCUUGGAGCCUGGCCAGAGCGAGCUCUCUAAACUCUGCAAGCUCCAUCUGGAGCAGGGCCAGGGUCUCCCUUCUGUGUCGGGCAUCAUUUUGGGGAGAAGCGAGGGCAGCGCAGGGCCGGCUGGGUACAGUGGUGGGUACAGUGCAGGGUGUGGCUUCCUCUGGGUCUGAAUCCUCAGCUUGUGUGAUGAGCAGACAUUUACCCUUCUGUGCUUUUACAUUACAUUAUAUUACAUUACAUUACAUAUUACAUUACAGGCAUUUAGCAGUCUCUUAUUCAAAGCGACACAGCUUUUUUACAUUGCAUUCAUUUAUACAGCUGGAUAAAUACUGGAGCAAUGUAGCUUUAAGUACCUUGCAAAAGGGUACAACCUGGUUCUACUUGGAAAGUUAACGUGUGGCCUUUAGGUUACAAGACCAGCUCCUUACCCAUUAUACUGCGCUGCCACCAUUAUACGACAUCGUUCUUUGUAAAACUACCAGGCUGGCUUCACUAGCACUUUGGAUGAGAGCGGACUCGUUUGUAUAGAUCAGUGGUCUCCAACUCUGGUCCUGGAGAGCUACAGGGUCUGCUGGUUUUUGUUUUCACCUUCAAAUCAGCACCCAAUUGAGACCCAAGACGCCAGGUGAGUUGCGUUAACUGUGUAAUCAACUGCUCUAAUUGAUUCAUGAAGUGCAGAGUCACUAUGAAAACCAGCAGACCCUGCAGCUCUCCAGGACCAGGGUUGGAGACCACUGGUUUAGAACAUACACAAUACAUUGUUAAAAUACCUUAUUGUUGCUGAAAGUUUGUUUUUUCAUUAUUAACGCCAUUAAAUCACUUUUUUCCCACAGUACUCAUCUGGGUAGUAUUGUGGGCAUCUAA